CCUCCUCACCUCCAUUUAUUUGUAUUGGUACCAUCCACGCAAUAGGUCGCCAGUCGCCACUUCACCAGAACUCCUAUCUUUCCGAUGUCCCCAACCUGCAGCCGCCUAUUGCUGCUUCUGUGCAUAUCUCUCUCUUGUAUCGCAGCCAUUAAACCUGGCGCGCAAGCACAAGAAGGCUGCUCGCCCGAGCGAUGCGGCAACCUGACCAUUUCUUCUCCGUUCGGGCUCGUCUCGGUGUUGGAGGAGAACAGGUGCGCUCAACUUGGUUUCCAGGUCCACUACACCAACGGCACCCCGUACCUUUGGUACUAUGAGCACGGGUUCGGGCUACAGAUCCUCAACAUAUUCUACAGCGACGGUUCCUUGCUCGUCGCCGAUGUCCACAAGCUAGGAGACUUCGAAAGUUCAAGCCAUGAAGGCUGCCAUGUACCGGUGACAAAUACCUCCUCCAAAAUCGGGCAUCCGUUCUCGAUUAGCAACAUGAAUCAGAACAUCAUCUUCUACAACUGCACCAAGGCGCCACCGUUGGAUAUCGUAAGGCGAGCAGGGCUUGUGGAGACGGUAUGCCGCAACAACACCUUUGUCCGCACAGGAGGGCAUUACAGUGAGAGGGACGGCGGCUAUGCUUUAGAGGGAUGCAAUGCUAUCUUCCUUCCGGUACUGGCAGCAUCCGGCGAGGCGAACGCAAGUGAUUAUGAGGGGCUAAUCACCAAUGGCUUCCUCCUGACAUGGCGGCAGCCGCCUGCUGGUAGUGGUAUCAAGGUGAUUAGCAAAAGGAUACUCAUACUAAUAGUUUCAUCAGCGGUUUCAACCUUGCUCUUUCCAUGCAUUUGUGUGAUGAUGAGGCAUCCCAAGGGGAAAAGACUAUGGUCUCGCAGCAAAAGGACUAGCAGCGGCACUGAAAGGAAUUACGAGGUCAUGAUAUUAUCAUAUGGAUCACUAGCCCCCAAAAGGUACACGUACUCAGAGGUAAUGAAGAUAACAUCUUCUCGCAAUCAUGAGCUUGGAAAGGGUGGUUAUGGUGUGGUUUUCAAAGGAAGACUACAUGAUGAUCGACUGGUUGCUGUGAAAUUCUUGCAUGACUGCAAAGGAAAUGGGGAUGAGUUUGUGAAUGAGGUUAUGAGCAUUGGGAGAACCUCUCAUGUUAAUAUUGUUAGCUUAUUUGGGUUUUGUUUGGAGGGAUCAAAACGAGCUCUUAUAUAUGAGUACAUGCCUAAUGGUUCCUUGGAUAGGUAUAUUUACUCAGAGAACCACAAAGAAAUUUUAGGAUGGGAGAGGCUGUAUGCUAUAGCAAUCGGGAUUGCUCGUGGCCUAGAAUACUUGCACCAUAGUUGUAAUACACGGAUCGUUCAUUUUGAUAUCAAGCCUCACAAUAUCCUUCUAGACAGGGAUUUUUGCCCAAAGAUUGCUGAUUUCGGUCUAGCUAAAUUGUGUCAUGCAAAGGAGAGCAAGCUAUCAAUGACAGGUGCUAGAGGAACAAUUGGGUUCAUUGCUCCAGAAGUUCACUCUCGGACAUUUGGAGUUGUUUCAACCAAGUCAGAUGUUUAUAGUUAUGGAAUGAUGUUGUUAGAGAUGGUUGGGGGCAGGAAAAAUGUGAAAUAGGUGGCUGAAAAAUCGAGCGAAGAAUAUUUUCCAGAUUGGAUUUAUGACCACUUUUCUCAAGAUGAUGGACUGCGAGCAUGUGAAGUCACAAGUGAAAUUGAGGAAAUAGCAAAAAGGAUGACCUUCAUUGGCUUGUGGUGCAUACAAGUAGUACCAAAGUUCUAGAAAUGUUUGAAAGAACCUUGGAUGAACUGGACAUGCCACCUAAGCAAAACUUCCAUGGACUACUUGACGACUCAGCACACAAUAUGAGCGUACAAAGUGCAAGUUCUACCAUUUCCGAAGACAAGAUCCUUGCGAAUUCAAAAAACAUUCAAUUGUUGCCAGCUCUUUGAGAAAGCAACAUGCACUUGCUUCAGCAAAGCAAUAAAGUUCAAUGGUGUAUCAAUUAAACAUAUUUCAUUUAUGUACAGACUUGAUUUAAGGCUGGCUCUACCUGAACAAACAAACCCGGAUAAAUGUAUUUUCGAAGUUCCAUUAAUGAAAAGCACUGGUUUAAUUUAGAGGG